rnacentral:rRNA from 1 species
UACGAACUGUGCGAACGUUAUUCGGAAUCACUGGGCUUAAAGGGUGCGUAGGCGGCUGCCUAAGUCAGGUGUGAAAUCUCCCGGCUCAACCGGGAAACUGCGCUUGAUACUGGACGGCUCGAGUGAGGUAGGGGUGUGUGGAACUUCCGGUGGAGCGGUGAAAUGUGUAGAUAUCGGAAGGAACGCCAGCAGCGAAAGCGGCACACUGGGCCUUUUCUGACGCUGAGGCACGAAAGCCAGGGGAGCGAACGGG